UACGGAGGGGGCUAGCGUUGUUCGGAAUUACUGGGCGUAAAGGGCGCGCAGGCGGCUGCUCAAGUCAGGCGUGAAAGGCCUGGGCUCAACCCGGGAAUUGCGCUUGAGACUGGGCUGGCUUGAGUGCGGGAGAGGAUGGUGGAAUUCCCAGUGUAGAGGUGAAAUUCGUAGAUAUUGGGAAGAACACCGAUGGCGAAGGCAGCCAUCUGGACCGACACUGACGCUGAGGCGCGAAAGCGUGGGGAGCAAACAGGG
rnacentral:rRNA from 1 species